ACAAUGGUUCAAUGUUCAGAUAAAAACUAGAAGUAAUACGUCGUUGCAUACCUAGGAUUCGGUCAUCAAGGGCACCUCCGGACCGGUCAUGGCCAAAUGACCAUGUCGACCAAAUCCAGUUUCUUCAUUUUUUUCUGCAGGUACCAAGGAAAACCCGCAGAAAAAUAGCCACAUGAAGCAUGGAAUAUUUUAGUUUCCAAUAUAAUAUAGUUGUCACACUGGAAGAUUCCAGUGUUAACAUCCAGUCAUGUAGAGGUAAAUUUUGUUUUUGUUGAUCAAAUUCAGAUUACAAGGGUGUAUUUUACUUGACUUCAUAAACAGUGACGAUCCUGAGUUAAGAAGACCAAGUGAAUGUGUAGGUUUCCAGUGCUUUUAGUUUGUUAACAUUCCAUGAGUUCAUGGUGAGUGAGCAGGGUUCUUUAGUUUCCUUAAUUACUAUAAAAAUGUGAUCCUUCCACACAAAAAGCUGUCUGUAAUAUGAUCAUUUUGUAUAUUUACACCUCACCAUCUCCUUUCUUACUUAUUAUCACUUUAUUUACCAGAACCAUUUGGAUUCAUAUUGUACAUUUUUAUAAUUUUUGCUCUACAUAUGUACUGCUAGCCUUCUUCUUAUACGCAAUGUCACUAUGACAAGUUCGUCUUUAAAUGCAGAAAUCGUGGGAAAAGGGUUUUCAGUUUCCAUGCAAAGGAAAUGUGUAGGCUGAAACAAGUAGUGUUGUAAAAAUAUGAUGGCCAGAGAUUGUGAACCAUUUUGGUUGAUUUUCCUCUUUAGUGUGACAGCAGCAUAAAGUAAUUCAUAUUGAACAUAUUUAUAACACCUCCUCUGUGUUGAAAUCUGUGUUUCUAGGGUGAAUAAUUGGAUUUGAGUGGAUUGUGAAUAGAUAUGGGUUAAACUCUUUACCAUGCUUUAAUUAGAUCAAGUUGAAUGGGAGACCCUGAAUAAUAUGAAUUAAUAUUAUUAUUAUGCUAUUGUUGCAUAUGCUCCCUCUUCAUUGUCCACAAUAGGAUCUUAGUUUUAGAAGGCACACAUGACAUGCUAUAUCGUGUACUUCCCAUCUACCAUUUUUUAUGCAGUGACCAAGUCCACGAUCAAUAUAUGAUGGGCUACAAAAAAUUUCUUGCACUCCCCAUUUAGAUGUUCCUAACCGUUUUGACAACAACCAGGUAGGUGGCACUGGGAAGGGGGUGACAGUGUUUAGGCAUUGGAGACGACACCACAGGGGACAUGUCUGCAUAUUGAUAAUAUACAAUAGAAUCACCCUCCAAUUCCAGUGAUGGUGAUGAUGUUAUCGUCUUGCCCUAUAUGCUGUCUGAUUUCAAGCCACCAUUUGAAAAAUAAUGUUACUAGAAUACAGAAAAAUGUUAUGGAUGAGUGACCUCGAAUCAAUUGUUAUCAAUCAGGGCAUGAUCCUUGUCUACCAUGAAACAAAAGGAAGCCCUGGACACUAUACUUGCAUGUUACAUUUUGCUAUACUUGCAUGUUACCCGUCUACGAUUUUUUGUAACCAGCUCAUAAAUUGUGCAUUCAGUUUUGUGUUGUUGAAGACAUGUGCAACUCUUUGCUUCCAUAGCAACCAGAAGAUCAUAGAUCUCCUAACUAUGCAUCUUGUACUGAAUAAACAGA